AGUAUUUUGUCAUUGACCGUGGGUACUGGACAGCGUUGUGACGUAACGCGACGACACAUGGACGAGGAUUUCAAGAUGGCGGCUAUCGAGAGUUUGACAGAGACUGGCCAAGAAAUGCCGGAAAAAGGCACAGAAAGCGCGGAUAAUAGCUCAGAAAGUAAUUCGGGUACAGAAGAAGCUGAANACAGCCGCUCGAGUUUAUCAAUGNCUGAACGUAAAAGUGAGCAUAAGAAGAAAAAGAAGAAACACAAAAACCACCAUAAGCACCAUCGUAAACACCACAAGCAUUCUGAUGAAGAUAAAGAGCGAAAACGCCGUCAUAAGCAUAAACACAAGCAUCGGAAAGCGUCCUUGGAUAACUCGGAUACUGAGCCAUUGGAUAAAAAAAGCCGCAUUGAGACAAUAGCAGGGGAGCUGGAAGAGCUAGAAAGACGUAAAGCCUAUCUGAAACAACAACUUGAGAAUGAUAGAACAUCUGAGAGAGAUGGAGCCUCUUUAAGAAGUAGUUCAAGUGAUAAAGAUAAGAAAAGGAAAGAAUAUAGAGAUAAAGAGGAACGUGAGAAAGAAAGGUCCCAUUUAAAUGAUUUUGACAGAAAUGGAAAGCAAGGUUAUAAAAUGGAAAAAGUGAAAGAAAGAAAAGAACACAGAGAAAGUACUCGGCACAGCAAAGAUGGUAGCUCCCAUGAUUCAAAAGAAAUGAAAGAAGAAAAUGGUGAAAAACGAAAGAGAAGGGACAAGUCAAGAUCUCCAGAUAGACCAAAGAGGCCACACAGUUAUUCACCAGAUAAAAAGACAGAAUCGUUGUCCAAUAUAUCAAGAAGUCGAAGAGAAAGAUCAAGUUCUACAGAUAUAUUUGGGAGGUCCAAAGACCUCAAUAAGAAGGUCAAUGAAAAAGAAAGUGGUACAUCAGAAGAUAAAGGAAAGUCUUUGGACAGAGAAAGAAAUCAGUCAAAAGAAAAGCAAAGUGAAACUUCUAGGCCAAAGGAUGAAUUAAGAGGUCGCAGAGAGAGGUCAGGCUCUAAAGAUCGCUUUGGGAGGUCAAAAGAUUUGGCCCAAGGAAGAGAUAAUGAGAAAAGCACUUCCAAAAUGGAGGGUAAUAGUAGGACAAUAUCGAUUGAGAAAGAAAAGACAGAUUUUAAGGAAUCAAGAAGGAGUUCUAGAUCAAGAGACAGAGAGGACUCUAAAUCAAGAAAUCGUGUUGAUUCUUCAGAAGAUUAUUCUUAUUCAAGGCCAAAAAGAUCAUUUAAAGAGAAAAAGGAUGAGGAUAAACAAAGCAAGGAUAGUGUAAGAAGGUCUCNUUCAGUUGAAGACAAACAAAAUAGCAAAUUAAGUAUCAGUGAUCAAGGAUCAAGGUCUAAAGAAUCCAUNGAUGUGAAGGGGGAUUCAAGAUCUCAUAGUCCAUUGAAGAGAGAUUUCUCAAGAGAUCGAUCAAAAGAUAGAAGGCAUCGUAGCAGAUCACCUAGGAAGGGAACCACUUCUCCCUCUAGACGGCAAAGAUCUCCAAGACGAAGUAGAUCACCAANGGAAAAAAGACCUUUUAGAAGAAGUAGGUCCCCUCGUAGGAGCAGAUCUCCAAGAAGGAGGGGAAGGUCCCCUAGGAGGAGAAGAAGCAGAUCUUCUUCACCAAGAUCAAGACAUGAAAGAAGAUCUUCUNACAAGCACAAAGGCAGUUAUUCGGAAAGCAUUCCUCAGGAUAAGAAACCAGAUUCAGGGGAUGAAUUGUAUGACUUUGAAAUGGAGUCAGAAGAGGAUGAAGAAGAGAUUAUACAGAGAAGGAGACAACAGCGAGAAGAAAUAAUAAAGAAGUAUCAGGGAGGAACUCCUUCAGCGCCAGCGUCAAUUGCAACAUCAGUGACAUCACAGGANUUGAAAGACUCAGAUUCAGACAGUGAUAGUAGUGAUAGUGAUAACAGUGAAUAUAGCAAUGCUGUUGACAAACAAGCUACUGAAGACCUUGAAAAAGACUUGGUUCUCACAGCUAAUAAAGGAAAAGAUAGUAAAAGUGGGGCAAAGGACAAUGAAUCGAGUGAAAACAAGAGCAGUUCUGAUUCUAAAAAAGAUGAAGAGACUUCCAAAAAUGGUGAAAUUGUUGCCGUAGAUGAUAUGUUUUCUGAACAUUACAGUAGCCCUGGAGGUCAAGUGCUAAUGAAGAUGGAUGUAUCAAAAGAAAAUCCUAAUCUUACUGACAACUGGGAUGAUGCUGAAGGAUAUUACCGUGUACGUAUUGGUGAACUACUCGACAAGAGGUACAACGUAUAUGGGUUUUCUGGGAGUGGUGUGUUUAGUAAUGUCAUCAGAGCAAGAGAUCAGGCAAGAGGGAACCAGGAUGUUGUGGUGAAAAUUAUACGAAACAAUGAAAUGAUGCACAAAACUGGUNUGAGGGAGCUCGAUUUCUUGAAAAAGCUGAAUGACGCUGACCCAGAUGACAAGUACCAUUGUUUACGUCUGUACAGACACUUUUUCCACAAGAACCACUUGUGUCUUGUAUUUGAAUCNUUGAGUAUGAAUCUCAGAGAAGUGCUUCGAAAAUAUGGACANAAUGUUGGUCUUCACAUAAAAGCUGUCAGGUCAUAUAGUCAACAGUUAUUNUUAUCUUUAAAACUACUAAAACGAACGGGAAUUUUACAUGCGGAUAUCAAGCCUGACAAUAUUCUGGUCAAUGAGUCGAAGUUGAUGAUCAAACUUUGUGACUUUGGUUCAGCAUCUCUGGCACAAGAUUAUGAAAUAACUCCAUAUCUUGUUAGCCGNUUUUAUAGAGCACCAGAAAUAAUCAUAGGUUCCAAGUACGACUAUGCUUUAGACUUGUGGUCUGUGGGGUGUACUAUUUAUGAACUGUACACUGGUAAGAUNAUGUUUCCUGGGAAAACAAACAAUGAGAUGCUCAAGUUGAUGAUGGACUAUAAAGGCAAGAUUCCAAAUAAGAUGAUCCGCAGAGGAAUGUUAAAGGACAAACACUUUGAUGAUAGCUGCAAUUUUCUUCACCAUGAAGUUGACAAAGUAACCCAAAGGGAAAAAGUGACAGUAAUAAGCUCAAUCAACCCAACUAAAGAGAUAGCUGAAUCCUUAUUUGGAUACCAUAAACUGGACGAGGUACACAAGCGCAAAGUAAACCAACUAAAAGAUCUUCUAGACAAGAUUCUGAUGUUGGAUCCAGCCAAGCGAAUGUCCUUGAAUGAAGCUCUUACUCAUCCCUUCAUCACAGAGAAAAUCUAAACUAAAGCGAUCAAGUUGAGUGGACACAUUGACACAAUGACAGUAACAUUCAUAUCAGAUUGUUACAUCUUGAAUCUAUUCAUCAAAGCAUACAUCACCUUCUAUCUUGAGGAAGAUCGCCUGGCAAUGAAUCAAUCUGUAACUUAGGGUUGAUAAAUAUUGUACAGGUAUAACGCCUGAUUAUCUCGAAAUGANCAGAAAAGCUUUGAUCUCUUUCUGGAAUUAAUUAAAAACAUAUUUUGUUGGAGUCUUAAAAAUGAGUGCAAAAGACUUCGGAGCCUUUGAUAAAAUAAGGAACNAGAUUUAACAAAAACAUUGGACAAAGACAUAUUAUGCAUAUUCUACUUCUGCUAGUAACUAAAAUGUGAUAUUUUCACCAUGUAAAUAAUGGAUAAAUUUUGAUAAAUACUUGANUUUUUUUACACCCUGAGACUAACAAAAGCAUAUGGGGUGGCAUAUCAGUAUAUAUNCCUUGCAUUGUUUGCACUUUUUAAUGUGUAAAUUGUUUUAUGGUUGUUGUAUCUUGUUUUCUUUUUCUCAUGAUUUAUAAAUAGUAUGUUUAGUUUGAUCGGUAAUUCUUUUUCCAUCAAAUUCAUAUUCUUCACUAUAAGCAUCUUAAAAGUAUUUAAAAAUAUUGAAAAUUAUAACAACAGUAUUUCUUAUAAUUAUGCAUGUAUACAGCUGAUCAAAGGAAUCAGUAUUAACAUUAGUGAUNGGUAUAAGCCAUGCUUUCUUGAGGAGGUUUCAGUGUAAACUCUCGAACGUCGGACUCCUCUUCUUGUUUGUACCUCAUUAUGGAGAUAACCCCGGAUUUUAAGUUUUAAUGUGUCAUAUAGUUCCAGAAGAUAUUGAUACCUUAAGAUGAAGGAGUAAAUGCUAUCCCCACCUCCCCCCCCCCUCUACACCUUGCUGGAAGUUUUAUAAAGAAAACAACCUCCCUGAUUCACUUCCUUGGAAAUUGUACUUCCCUUCAUUGAGGAAGGACUGAACAUCUUCUGGAACAAACAACUUUUACUUAUUUUUUUUACUCAAACCAACAAAUGGUCCUCGACAAACAAUGUUGUUAUUAUAUUUUCAAAUAAGAACGAGAAUUUUUUUGAUCAUGUAGUAGGAUUAGUACUUCAAAGACAAUAUUAAGAGAAAUCUCUGUUCAUAAUGUAAGGCUGUUGUGACCAUUGGCAGUUUUUCUCUUGACAGGAUAGUGUGACACUUGUGCUGAUGUUGUGUGACUUCUCAAUAAAGUUCUUAUAUCCAUGGCAA
rnacentral:misc_RNA from 1 species